UACCACCUGCCAUCCGGAUA
rnacentral:siRNA from 1 species